GGUUCGAUCAUGGCUCAGAUUGAACGCUGGCGGGAUGCUUUACACAUGCAAGUCGAACGGCAGCACGACCCCCGGUCUGGUGGCGAGUGGCGAACGGGUGAGUAAUGUAUCGGAACGUGCCUAGUAGCGGGGGGAUAACUACGCGAAAGCGCAGCUAAUACCGCAUACGCCCUUCGGGGGAAAGCGGGGACCUUCGGGCCUCGCACUAUUAGAGCGGCUGAUAUCGGAUUAGCUAGUUGGUGGGUAACGGCUCACCAAGGCGACGAUCCGUAUUAGGUUUUGAGAGGACGACCAGCCACACUGGGACUGAGACGGCCCAGACUCCUACGGGAGGCAGCAGUGGGGAAUUUUGGACAAUGGGGGAACUCCCGAUCCAGCCAUCUCGCGUGUGCGAAGGCGAAGGCCUUCGGGUUGCAGUUAAUUUUUGGCAGGAAAGAAACGGCACGGGAUAAUACCCUCGUGCAACUGACGGUACCUGCAGAAUAAGCACCGGCUAACUACGUGCCAGCAGCCGCGGUAAUACGUAGGGUGCAAGCGUUAAUCGGAAUUACUGGGCGUAAAAGCGUGCAGGCGGUUCGGAAAGAAAGAUGUGAAAUCCCCAGAGCUUAACUUUGGAACUGGUACUUUAACUACCGAGCUAGAGUGUGUCAGAGGGAGGUGGAAUCGUGUAGCAGUGAAAUGCGUAGAUAUGCGGAGGAACACCGGGAUGGCGAAGGCAGCCUCCCUGGGAUAACACCACGCCGCCAUGCACGAAAGCGGGGAGCAAACAGGAUUAGAUACCCUGGUAGUCCACGCCCUAAACGAUGUCAACUAGCUGUUGGGGCCUUCGGGCCUUGGUAGCGCAGCUAACGCGUGAAGUUGACCGCCUGGGGAGUACGGUCGCAAGAUUGCACCAAAGGAAUUGACGGGGACCCGCACAAGCGGUGGAUGAUGUGGAUUAAUUCGAUGCAACGCGAAAACCUUACCUACCCUUGACAUGUCUGGAAUCCCGAAGAGAUUUGGGAGUGCUCGCAAGAGAACCGGAACACAGGUGCUGCAUGGCUGUCGUCAGCUCGUGUCGUGAGAUGUUGGGUUAAGUCCCGCAACGAUGCAACCUUGUCAUUAGUUGCUACGAAAGGGCACUCUAGACUGCCGGUGACAAACCGGGAGGAAGGGAUGACGUCAGUCCUCAUGGCCCUUAUGGGUAGGGCUUCACACGUCAUACAAUGGUCGGGACAGAGGCCUGCCAACCCGCGAGGGGAGCCAAUCCCAGAAAUCCGAUCGUAGUCCGGAUCGCAGGCCCGCAACUCGACUGCGUGAAGCUGGAAUCGCUAGUAAUCGCGGAUCAGCAUGUCGCGGUGAAUACGUUCCCGGGUCUUGUACACACUGCCCGUCACACCAUGGGAGUGGGUUUUACCAGAAGUAGUUAGCCUAACCGUGGCGAGGGCGAUUACCACGGUAGGGAUUCAUGACUGGGUGAAGUCGUAACAAGGUAG
rnacentral:rRNA from 1 species